AACCUUAUGGACCUGCGGGCGUAUACCUGCGGAAGGAUCAUUACAGAGUUGCAAAACUCCCUAAACCAUUGUGAACGUUACCUAAACCGUUGCUUCGGCGGGCGGCCCGGGUCCUUCCCGGCGCCCAUCGGCCCUCGCGGGCGCCCGCCGGAGGUAAACCAAACUAUUGCAUUGUAUGGCCUCUCUGAGUCUUCUGUACUGAAUAAGUCAAAACUUUCAGCAAUGGAUCUCAGAUCGGAA
rnacentral:misc_RNA from 1 species